UCUGCCCUCAAAUUUCCGCAGUUUUUACAUUGAGGGCUUUCGUGAAUAGUCUGAGAAGCACAGUCUUUAACUGCUGUUUUUAGUAGUUUGGGAGCGCUCGCAUUAUUGUUGGUACCUUGCGGCUCCGCUGUGUUCACUGAUAAACUGUCUAACAUAGCAUCUGCUUGUCUUACUAUAUGAUCUGUAUCUAAAACUGUUACCAGAAUUUGUUUGAAUAGCUCACCAUCCUUUCCAUGAAGCAAUAUCGAGUUCUGCUUUCCCGGGUACCAGGUCAAGGUAAAAUCAAACGUUGAACUUUUAAACUGCUUAGCAUUUCCACCAGGUGAUUUCCAAGUGCCGGUCAAACCAAUAACAUUUUCGACAUAAUUCUUUAAUGAAUUAAGGUCACCGGUCCACUUUAUACGACUACCAGCAAAAGUUAAGUUAGCUUCAUUAUUUAAUAGCUUUAUUGCAUUCAUAUCGACGUUCUCUGGUCUGAAAUUUGUAUUAUUGAACGAGUUAAAAAAUCCAUGACCUUCCAC